GCUCAAAGCGGUGGCAGAGUAUCCUACUCCAAAAACUGUGCAUCAAGUGCGACAAUUCGUAGGAUUGAUAAGUUACUUUCGCAAGUUUAUUCAUAACUGUGCAUUAUUAUGCAAACCGUUAACCAGUUUGUUGAAAAAGGGGAGUACAUGGAAAUGGAAUGACGAACAUGAACAAGCGGUAACUAAGCUAAAACGAGCACUAAUUGAUAACGCUGUACUCAAUAUUUUCGACCCCAAGCUGCCGAUAAAUCUUUACACAGACGCCAGUAGGGACGGGAUAGCAUGUAUUAUGACUCAGUUAACCGACAAAGGCGAGAGACCUAUACAUUUCUAUAGCCGUCAAACUACCAAUGAAGAAAAAAAAUAUCAUUCAUUCGAGUUAGAACUUCUAGCUAUAAUAACAGGGUUACAAAAGUUUAGGCAUUAUUUAAUAGGGACGUCCUUUAAAAUCACGACGGAUUGCAAUGCUGUCAGGCAUGCUUUAAGUAAGCAGGAGAUUGUGCCUCGAAUCAGUCGAUGGGUGUUAUAUGCGCAAGAGUUCACAUAUGAGAUAGUUCACAGAGCGGGUAGUCAAAUGCAGCAUGUGGACGCCCUCAGUAGAAAUCCGGUUUGUGACAACGUCAAGGUUGAAACUGUUUUAUCGUUAACGGAAGGUGAUUGGUUGCUAUCGGUUCAGCUGCAAGACCCCAGUAUAUGUAGCAUUCGUGAAAUUUUGUUGUCAGGCGAGGCCGACGCUAACAAACGUAUAUUUCAGGAUUACGAAUUAUUAGGAAAUAAAGUAUAUCGACGGACGGAGUAUGGUAGACGUUGGCUUGUACCUAAGCGCUGUAUUUGGAAUGUGAUACAUGCUAAUCAUGAUAACGUGGGCCAUUUUGCUGUCGACAAGACAAUAGAAAGAAUUCGCGCAAAAUAUUGGUUUCCACACUUAAAGAGAACUGUAUCAAAAUAUAUUAAAAACUGCUUGAAUUGCAUAUAUUACAAAAACAUUCACGGCAAAAAGCCAGGAAAAUUGUAUCCCAUUCCCAAAUACGCGAGACCAUUUCAUACAUUACAUGUAGAUCAUCUCGGACCCUUCAUAAAAACGACACAAAAAAAUUGCUAUCUGUUAGUUCUCGUAGACGCGUUUACCAAAUUUGUGUUUAUAGCUGCGGUGAAAAAUACUAAAAGUCAGUUAGUAAUCAAUGAACUACUAAAGUUAUUUAAACAAUUUGGAAAUCCUAAACGCCUAAUUUGUGAUGCCGGGAGUGCAUUUACAUCGAAACUCUUUACACAAUUUUGUAACGAUAGGAAUAUUAGGCGACACGUUAUCGCGACCGCUGUACCUAGAUCGAACGGACAGGUGGAGCGAUUUAAUUUGACAAUUCUAGAAGCUUUACGUAGUCUAGGAGCAGAUACGGAAAAUAACAAAUGGGAUCAACAUGUGACUAGGAUUCAGCAAGGUAUCAACAGCACUAUAAAUAAAACCACAGCCGCAGUACCGAGUGAGGUCUUCUUUGGGUAUAGAAUUCGUAUGGACAAUGACGCAAUCACUGACGAUGACAACACUGAGCACCCGGUUGACGUUACCUCCUUGAGGCAUAUGGUCGAUGCCAAUAUCAAAAAGGACGCCGAGAGACAAAAGGCUUCGUUUGACGCUAGACGGAAAGAGGCACCGCAGUAUAAGAUUGACGACUUGGUGGUCCUUAAAAUUCCAAGUCAUUCGAAUGACGGCAACAGCACGAAGCUAUUGCCGCUAUACAAAGGGCCGUUCCAAGUUACAGCUGUAUUAGGUCAUGACCGCUAUAAGGUGACAGACCUAAGAGGCGCCGAAAGGACCUCCAAACGCUACGAUGGCAUCGCUUGCGUCGAAAAUAUGAAGCCCUGGAUACGCCUAGCAGAUUAAAUUGGUAAUACCGGAUGUAGUCGAUAGAAAAACAUAAAGCUCCACCAUCAGCCCAUAACGGGAGUCGAGACGAUCCCGAGGGCAGGACAGCCGGAUGUAGUCGCCAGGGUUUCUUCAAGCAGCAACACAGCCAGUUCGAGCGCUGGCAACACGAACGGCGUCAAUACCUGUUCCGGUGACGUCACAUCGUCGUUAAUAAAAACCCUGACGCAGCCAACGGAGCUCUCUCUUGCCAACCAGCCGUCGAGUUGUAAAGAAGUAUCACAUUAA